GCUAGGACUACCAGGGUAUCUAAUCCUGUUUGCUCCCCUAGCUUUCGUGCCUCAGUGUCAGUUUCUGUCCAGGUAGCCGCCUUCGCCACCGGUGUUCCUCCUGAUAUCUACGCAUUUCACCGCUACACCAGGAAUUCCGCUACCCCCUCCAGAACUCUAGCCUGCCAGUUUUGGAUGCAGGCUCUGGGUUGAGCCCAGAGUUUUCACAUCCAACUUAACAGACCGCCUACGCACCCUUUACGCCCAGUAAUUCCGAACAACGCUUGCCCCCCCCGUAUUACCGCGGCUGCUGGCACGGAGUUAGCCGGGGCUUCUUCUACGGGUACCGUCAACCUUGCGGUUUCUUCCCCGUCGAAAGGGUUUUACGUCCCAAGAGACUUCAUCACCCACGCGGCGUUGCUUGGUCAGGGUUGCCCCCAUUGCCAAAAAUUCCCCACUGCUGCCUCCCGUAGGAGUCUGGACCGUGUCUCAGUUCCAGUGUGUCCGACCGUCCUCUCAGACCGGAUACUGAUCGUAGCCUUGGUGAGCCAUUACCUCACCAACUAGCUAAUCAGCCGCGGGCUCCUCCUAGAGCGAAUUGCUCCUUUCAUAACGAAAUCCGCAGAUCCCGCUAUCGUAUGCGGUAUUAGCACCGGUUUCCCGGUGUUAUUCCCCACUCCAGGGCAGAUUACCCACGUGUUACUCACCCGUGCGCCGCUGUACUCAGGGAGUUGCCCCCCUUUUCUCGCUCGACUUGCAUGUGUUAGGCACGCCGCCAGCGUUGAUUCUGAGCCAGGAUCAAACUC
rnacentral:rRNA from 1 species